GCCCCCAUCGUCUAGCGGCCCAGGACACCGCCCUUUCAAGGCGGCAGCACGGGUUCGAAUCCCGUUGGGGGUGCCG
rnacentral:tRNA from 1 species